GGCUUUUUUCGCAGCGGAGCUCGACCGCCCACAGCGUUGAUCGUCCAGUUCAUCGACAUGCGCAAGCACGAGUUCGGCGUCGAGCCGAUCUGCCGCACGCUGACCGCGGCGGGCACGCAGAUCGCGCCG
rfam:Corynebacterium humireducens NBRC 106098 = DSM 45392, complete genome.